CACAUCUUACUCACUUCAUUAUCACCAUAUUCACUUUCUCCUUUCACUUAAACACAGAAAUCUCCCACUCUCGAGAACUCUAAUCCCUAAUCGCCAUUUUUGUACUCUUCAUCUCACAGCGUCAACCGUCGACGAUUCUCUCUCCUCCCAAUUCAUCCCCGAAUUCCACAUCCACCGUCAAUGAUUUCUCACAUCCACCGUCAAUGAUUUCCCACCCUCAAUCUUUCAACCAAACACAGACCAACAAUCUGUAACGCAAUCAAACCCACUUUAUCCUUCAACUGGCUCGUUUCCCAUGAUAUAUCUGCCAAAACCGCUUCUCCAUGGCUUCCCAACUUCGAAGAACUUGACACCACCAACAUGCUUCUCCGUCAAAGGAUUGUCUUUUUGGGUUCUCAGGUGGAUGAUACGACAGCAGUUUUUGAAAUCAGUCAACUUUUGUUUUUGGAUGCUGAUGAUCCUAAGAAAGACUUCAAGUUGUUCAUAAAUUCACCUGGUGGUUCUGUUACUGCUGAUGUAGCAACAGCUCAAGACAUUGGAGAUGGAGGUCAGAGAAUACAAGAUAUGAUAACCAAUGAUGUUGUAGAUCCUACCAAAUGUGAUGUAGAUGAUCAAAGCUCAAAACUUGAAUACAACGAGUCUCAUUAGACAUCUCAAUACGACACAGAUCAUAUUUACCAUCCAGAACAUUCUCUGUUGCAUAUUAAAGUAAGUCUAAACUUUUGAUAUUUUAUUAGACAAGCUUGUGCUUAUGUUAAUUCAUUUCCGUAUGCAAAUCGAAUCUGUCAUGCAAUUUCGUUAAGCAGGAAGAACUAAAACCAGAAGACGAGACAGAAGACGGUGAAAUAGAUAUACCAAAAUCAAAAUCCCAAAAGAAGCUAUUGUUUAGAUCAGUGUUGGGUGGUGCCACUGCUGUUGGUUUGUUAUUCAUGUUUCUCAACCUAAGGAAGAAUGUUGGAGAAAAAGCUGUACAACCAAGUAAGACAUCUAGUCAUAAGAACAAAGAGAAUAUUCAGAAAAAUUCAACCAAGAAAAUAAAUAUGAUAAGUACAACAAAAGAGGUUUAUCCAGAUGAAAAGCUCCAGUUAAAGUGAUUGGGAUUUUGGUCUCUUUUGAGAUUGUGGAUCAUAUAUUUCUGUACUGAUAGAUUAGAUAGGUUUUAGUUUUUUUUUAGUAUAAAAAUUCUUUAGUUGAGACAAUGAUAUGAGAUGAAGCACAAAUAAAAGGUAAAAAUUCUAGUAUAAAGAACUUAAUUGCUGAAUGGUGUGAGAACCACAACUUCAACAUCAUAUCAAUAUUGGAUUUCUGGCUUCAACAAUGAAAUUUUUGUAAAACUUGUGGCUUGUAGCUGCUGAGAAUCCAGGUUUCGGCAAUCUGAGAUCCUCAAUGGUUAUACCUUCACCGACUGUUCCGGUAAUCUAAAUUGAACUGAUGCCUUUUGUUUUGUCGGUGAGAAUUGUAUUAUUGAUUGAAAAUAUAUGUAUAACAGAAGGAAAACCCCUAUAACUCCUGAUCAAAAGCCCUCCUUAGAGAAGAAAAUUGUAACUAAUACUCUAUUUGGCUCAUUUGUUGGCUUAAGGGCCAAACUCAGUACAUAACAUAUACAUGUAAGUUUCAAGGCUAAAUUGUUUUGGUUCCUUCAUUGAAGAAUAUUAUAGAAGUAAACCUGCUGAGUCUAAAUCUUGAUAUGUUGUUUAAAGUCAAAACAAUAAUAGUAUAUCAACCAAGGAUUUCCUUAAAACAUUGCAGAAUAAUAGCUAGUUCUUUUGUUUACAGGUGUGGAGUCAUAUGACAUUGAUUUGAAGGAACAGAAAGUGGUAGUGAAAGGAAAUGUUGAACAGGAUACAGUUCUAAAGACAGUUUCCAAAAUUGGGAAGCCGACUGCAUUUUGGGAAGGCGAAGCAUCAUCUGAGACUAAGUAAACCUGUUACUAAAAUAUUUAGCUCAAUUUCUAUGUGAGAUAAGUAGUUCUGUAAAUAAAAUACUAUUUGAUGGGUUUGAAUAGCUAGAAUAUGUCCUUUGAUGUAUUCUUGGUGUGCUACAAUAAGGCCCUAGAAUGUUGGUUCUUUUCAAAGCUAUGGUAUUGUAUUGCCUAACCAAACCUUAAUAGGUUCAGUGUUCAUGAUUGCAUCACUGAAGCAGCUGCUCGGAAAGUUUUUGUGGAUGCUGGGGUUCCUUAUUAUUGGGACCAAGCUGUCAACUACGUAGAUGACGAAGCUGCUUGAAUUAUCUUCUAAUGUUUUUGGUCAUAUUAUAUAGCAUGCCCAGACAUCGUGUGAUUUCAAUUGAAGAAAUAUGUUUAUAUUGUC